AUUGAACGCUGGCGGCAUGCUUUACACAUGCAAGUCGAACGGUAACAGGUUAAGCUGACGAGUGGCGAACGGGUGAGUAAUGCAUCGGAACGUGCCCGAUCGUGGGGGAUAACGCAGCGAAAGCUGCGCUAAUACCGCAUACGAUCUGAGGAUGAAAGCGGGGGACCGUAAGGCCUCGCGCGAUCGGAGCGGCCGAUGUCAGAUUAGGUAGUUGGUGGGGUAAAGGCUCACCAAGCCAACGAUCUGUAGCUGGUCUGAGAGGACGACCAGCCACACUGGGACUGAGACACGGCCCAGACUCCUACGGGAGGCAGCAGUGGGGAAUUUUGGACAGUGGGCGAAAGCCUGAUCCAGCAAUGCCGCGUGCGGGAAGAAGGCCUUCGGGUUGUAAACUGCUUUUGUACGGAGCGAAAAGGCCCUCUCUAAUACAGUGGGCUCAUGGCGGUACCGUAAGAAUAAGCACCGGCUAACUACGUGCCAGCCGCCGCCGUAA
rnacentral:rRNA from 1 species